UUUACGUUAUUAAUUAAAAAAAUACAGAUUAGAUAAGCCAAGUAAACUCACCGUACAAUCGAAAAAACUAUUCGUUUUCUUCUCUUUCAAUAACGAUUCAUUUCCAACUGAAUCGCAAAGGUUAAUCUCGUGUUUCUUCUUGUAAUCGUUGUCAAUAUAAUGAUCGACCUUUGAUUUGGCUACUUGUUGACCUUCGUUGUUUGCAAAUCUGGGAGAUAUAUUGAAGGUGGGUGAUGCUGUUCUCUUUGCCCAGAAGGAAUCGAGGUUAUAUACUUGUCAUCAUCACGCACUCUAAUUCGGUGAGAAGAUUUAACAUUGGCUUAUUAAAGAGGUGCAAAAUUUAAAGGAAAGCAACUCGGGGCCAGCAAGCAGAAGAUAAUGUCAUUCCCUCGGUUCAAUGGUGGAUAUUACAAUUAUGGUGGUAAUGGCGGUAAUUAUUGGGAGUGGAUGUACAAGAGGUUCGAUGAAGUGACGGAAAAUCUUUCAUCUGAAUUCAAAGUGGGGGUGGACCAAUUCUUAUCGUUUGCAAGUAGCCAAGAUACAGUUUAGAAUAAUGGGGGUAAGUUUCUCUGUCCAUGUAGUGUUUGCAAAAACAAUUGAUGUCUCUCGGGUAGAAGAGUUAUGAGUCAUCUGUUUAGUAAUGGAUUUAUGCCAGUUUAUUAUGUUUGGUAUAACCACGGAGAAGAAAUUUAUUUGGAUAUAGGAAGUAGUUACACUGAUAGGACGUAUGAUGGGAGUCAUGAAGAAAUGGGUAAUGUAGUAGAAGAUCCAUAUGUGGAUAUGGUGAAUGAUGCAUUUCGUUAUAAUGUGGGUUUAGAUGAUAAUUAUCAUCAAAAUGAUAGUUAUGAGAAUGUGGAAGAACCGGUACAAAACCAUUCACAGAAAUUUUACGACUUGUUAGAUAGUGCAAAAACUCCUUUAUAUGAUGGUUGUCGUGAAGGUCACUCGCAAUUGUCAUUGGCUGCUCGAGUCAUGCAAAAUAAGGCGGAGUAUAAUAUGAGUGAAAAGUUAGUAGAUUCGGUUUGCGACAUUUUGACGGAUUAUUUACCAGAAGGCAACCAUUCUACCAGUUUAUUACGAGACAGAGAAAUUGAUGCGUAAUUUGGGCCUUCCAUAUUAUACAAUUGAUGUUUGUAUUAACAAUUGUAUGAUUUUCUGGAAAGAAGAUGAAAAGGAAGAGACAUGUCUAUUUUGUGGUUCACCAAGAUGGAAGCCUAAGGAGGACCGACGGAGAACAAGAGUACCAUUAGUCGUAUGUGGUAUCUACCUAUUGCUGAUAGGUUGAAGAGAAUGUAUCAGAGCCAAAAGACUGCAGCGACAAUGAGAUGGCAUGCAUAACACCAAUCAAAAGAGGGAGAAAUGAAUCAUCCUUCUGAUGCGACAGAGUGGAGAUAUUUCCAAGAGCUUAACCCUCGGUUUGCGGAAGAACCUCGUAACGUCUACCUUGGAUUAUGUACCGAUGGGUUCAAUCCAUUUGGCAUGUCUCGUAAUCAUUCGCUGUGGCCUGUGAUCUUGACUCCAUAUAAUUUACCCCAGGUAUGUACAUGAAUACGGAGUACUUGUUUUUUAUAGUUCUGAAUUCUGGGCCAACUCAUCCGCGAGCUAGCCUCGGUAUCUUCCUACAACCUCUUAUUGAGGAGUUAAAAGAGUUGUGGUCUACUGGAUUCGAUGCAUACGAUGUGUCUUUGAAUCAAAACUUCAAUCUAAAAGCAGUGCUGAUGUGGACGAUAAGCGACUUUCCGGCGUAUAGCAUGUUAUCGGGAUGGACCACCCACGGUAAAUUAUCUUGUCCAAUUUGCAUGGAAAGUACAAAGUCGUUUUAUCUACCCAAAGGAAGGAAGACAUGUUGGUUUGAUUGUCACCGAAGAUUCCUGCCUCAUGGUCAUCAAUUAAAGAAGAACAAAAAAGAUUUCCUGAAGGGAAAAGACGCUUCUAACGACUAUCCACCGCAGUCUUUAACUGGUGAGCAAGUUUAUUACGAGCGUUUGAAAUGUGUAAAUCCACCAAAAACUAGGGAAGUCGGUGGUAACGGUCAUGAAAAGAAGAUGCCAGGCUAUGGAAAGGAACAUAAUUGGCACAAAGAAACCAUAUUAUGGUCGCUACCUUAUUGGAAGGACCUCAAUCUCCGACAUAAUAUCGAUGUGAUGCAUACCGAGAAGAAUUUUGUGGACAACAUCUUGUAUACUUUUAUAAGUGUACAAGGUAAAUCUAAAGAUAAUGUCAUGUCAAGAUUGGACAUAGAACAAUUUUGUUCUCGACCACACUUACAUAUUGAUAGGAAGGGUAAAGCUCCUUUCUCAGCAUAUACAUUGACAAAGGAAGCCAAAACAAGUUUAUUGGAAUGUGUCAAGCAUCGGUGAAAUUUCCAGAUGGUUAUUCAUUAGACUUUGCUUGUUGUAUUGAUCUAAUCAAUGGCAAGUUUUCAGGAUCGAAGAGUCAUGAUUGCCAUGUUUUUAUGGAGCGAUUUCUUCCAUUUAUCUUCACAGAAUUCCUAGACCGGAACGUUCACCUUGCAUUACUUAUUUAAUUAAAUAAGUAAUAUAUAUUUUUAAAUAUAAUUUCCUAAGACAUGAAAUUUGAAUACAUUUUCAGGGAUUGGAGUAUUUUUCAAGGACUUAUGCUCAAGAACUUUGCAAAAAAGUCGUGUUCAAAUUCUUAAACAUAACAUUGUUUUGAUCUUAUGCAACUUAGAAAAGAUAUUUUCACCAUCAUUUUUUGAUGUGAUGGAGCACCUGCCUAUACAUCUCCCAUAUGAAGCAUAAUUGGGAGGCCCUGUCCAAUAUUGGUGGAUGUAUCCUUUUGAAAGAUUUUUCAAAAAGUUGAAAGGAAAAGCGAAAAACAAAAGAUAUGCAGCUGGAUCAAUCGUUGAGUCAUAUAUCAAUGACGAGAUUGCUUACUUCUCUGAGCACUACUUUGUCGAUCAUAUACAAACAAAAUCAAGGUGAAGUGCUAGUACAUCAUGUCCCUGGAGUCCCUAAUAUAUUUACUCAUGUCGGUCGUCCAAGUGGAGAAAUGCAUAAAGUAUGGCUUUCAGAGAGAGACUAUUAAUGCGCACAUUCAUAUGUUUUACGGAAUUGUGACUAUUUUCAACCAAUUGAGAGUAUGUUCGAGGAUUUUCUUUCUACCAAAUAUCCUGAAGUAACCGAAAAAGAACUAUCCAUGAAAAGAGCUGAAGAAUAUCAUGUGUGGGUGAAAGAUUAUGUAAGUAUACUCGAACGCCUCUAACCGACUCUGUUUCUGCAUUUAUUUAUAUCAUUGAUAAUAUUUAUAUGUAUAUAAUAAUGUUUGAUUUUAUUAUAUAUAUAUAUAUAUAU